AAAAAUAAUUGUCAUUUGGAACAUUAGUCAUUAACACAGUUUUGUCGUAUAUAUACUUUAUUUAUAUACAAUGAGCUCCACCCCCUUUGGUCAUUGUUGUUAACAAGCUUUAUGUCAUCUCAUAGGAAUGAACUGGAGAUUUUCACAGCAUGAUUUUCAGUACAAUAUUCUCUCUCUCUCUUUAAAGAAAUGAAACUACACAGUAACAAUCAAUUGAUUAAUUAAUAACAAUUAAUAAUAUAUAAUAUUCAUUAAUAUUUAAUUAAUUAAUAUUUAAAUAUUUGGAGAAGCAAAAUAAAUUAAAAAAUCACUAUCCGCUCUCUGUACCUUAUUGUAUCACUAUUAUAAGCAAAGACUAUAGAAUAACACAAGACGCAUCACUCGUAUUGUUUUGAAUGGGAGAAAAUGCAGCGCGCAAUAUGGCGGAAUAAGCCCCGUCUUCUAAAUAAGAGCCAAUCGCCGAUUGGUAAAGUAAUCAGUGCUGCCUUAUCAUAAAAGAAAAUACUCACUUUCACUCUGUUCCUUAAAGACAUUGCCUGAGGAAAAAACAUCCUCUUGUGGCUAAUUUUACUGGAGACUUUUGUUUCUGUACACAUGGAAAGAAUAAUGAGCAGGACAUUGUAAAGAAGACCUCAAACAGAUUUCAUGACCAUAAAUAAUGCACUCGAUGGCAAACACUGCAUCCAGUUGAACAUGUUUCACACCUCCAAAAGUUUGAUGAUGACGGUAAAAAGGUAUUCUCAAAUGUUAUGGUCUUAAAAGAGGCAAAAUUUGACCUAGAAACAGAAAAUGUGAAUCACACUUCCUACAUCAUCCCUCACGCCAUUACACACACACACAUCCAUACACAUGGUGAAUUACAUCCUCAGCUCCAGUCACAGAGACGUGCUUGCAUGCCAUAAUUGGAACGCACACAUAAAGCUGUGCCCCAGGACUGCUGGAGGGUGUGUAGCUCUUUGAGUUAGUGUUCACGUUCAUGACGCCCGUGGGUUAUGAGUGGGAAGAGACUGACAGCUGCUGUUUGUUACACAGCUACAAAGGACAAAAAAAAAAAAAAAAACCUGGGGUGUAGCUAGUGUUGCCACCACAACCAUGUUUAAACUUGCUCCAUACUGUAGAAAAAACAAUUUGAAAAAUGUUUAAGUUGUUAAUUACAUAGUUCCCACAGCUUUUGACCAAGACAUGACUUUUGUUUGUUUUUAAUUAGUGGAUAAAGAUUUGUUUAAAAAAAAAAAAAAAACGAUUGCCAACUCAGAUUUACAUUUGUAUGUCAGCCCUUGAAAUUAAUAGAUUAAUUAAUAGAUUCUCAUUUUUUUUGUCCAAUAUAACAAAAAACAAACAAACAAAAACAAACUAAACAACAACAACAAAAAAAGUCCUUGAAUAAAAAUGCAGCCCUAUGGAGGAUUCAGCUUAUACAGAAACUGUGUUAGCUAGUCACUUAGGCUUCCAAAAAUAAAAAUAAUUGACGACGGGCAGUUGAAUUCUUAGAAAAUAAUGCACACCUGAGGUGGUAAUGCGGCCACGACGCAAAGCGAGUUAACACACCUCAAGACACUCUUCCGAUGUAUAAAAACAAACAAACAAACAAAAACACUGUUCCGAUGUUGUAUUUCAAGACAUUUGUCAGGUUUUUGUCCUUAAAACACUCUUGUGUGUGGGACUAAUUUCUUACGCAUCUCAUCCCAAGCCUCCGUUGCUAAUUCCAAAACUCAUUUCUGAACUAGUAACGGAGGCUUGAGCCUUGAUAGCAAAAUCAUAAUACCGUUGAUACAGUUAUUAACGCAAUUGAGAGAGAGAGAGAGAGAGAGAGAGAGAGAGAGAGAGAAAGAGAGAGAGAGAAUAAGCUUGUGAGUUAGGCUACCUGAUCUGAGUCUCUGACGGCAGCAGUGUCUCUAGUAAUAGCGAAACUAUAAGUUUAUCUCAAGAACCGCACAGUUAUUACCUCGCCGGUGAGUUAUGUAUCUUUUAAGUUGCUAAACUAUUUUACUGAUUAUUUCGUCGGAGCAGCACAGACCAAACGUUUCUGUGCGAGUGUGUGUGUCCAUACUACAUUACGUGACGUGUACGUUUGAAAGAGAGAGAGAGAGCGGAAGAGAGUUCAGUACACAAUAAAACGUAUUUUGUGGCAAAAACAAUGACAAUAAUUUGUCGUUUUCAUUGUUUACUAUAUUUAUUUGCUUUGUCGGUGUCGUUGUGGGUUUUGUUUCUUUUGCGGUUGUAGGCUGUAAGGACCUAAAUAACUGAAAUCAUUUGGCGAAGUGAUAUGGAACUGUAAUGCGGUCAAGACCUGCUAGAACUACUUUAGCCGUGCGUUUCCUAACGGCUCCGUCUUCCCUGAAAAUAAUUGCACACCUUUGAACGUUGGUCAACCAAUCAGAUUCGAGCAUUCAACAGCCCCGUGGUAUAAAGGAUAAAAAUCAUUAUCAUCAUCAAUCAAUUAUAAUAAUAAUUUUGGGGUCAGUAAGAUUUUUUAUGUUUUUAAAGAAAUUACUUUUUAUUCAGCAAGGCAGCCUUAAACCAAUCAAAAGUGACAGUAAAGACAUUUAUAAUGUUACCAUAAAAGAAUCCUGUUUAAAAAAACAUAUCACAGUUUCCAUAAAAAUAUAAAGCAGCAAAAAUGUUUUCAACUGUUUUCAACUGUUUUUUUUUUCUUGAACAUAAAAUCAGCAUAUUAGAAGGAUUUCAGAAGGAUCAUGUGACUCAAGACUAGAGUAAUGAUGCUGAAAGUUCAGCAUUGCCAUCACAGGAGUAAAUUCCUAUUAUAAUAUAUUUUAAAUUUUAAACAGAUAUUUCACAAUAUCGCUGAUUUUAGUGUAUUUUUGGUCAAAUAAAUGCAGCCUAGGUGAGCAAAAGAUACUUUUUUCAAAAACAAAAAUCUUACUGACCCCAAACUUUUGAAUGGUACAGUAAAUAUAUUUACAGACACUGUUUUGAUGUGAAGCGAGUGCCAUCUCACCUAUAAAUUCAAUUUAUCUGCACAGCGGGUGUUUGUGUAACAGAAUGCAAGGACACUCCUGUGAGAAGGCCGCAGCAUCUCUAAAUUCAGACUGUCACAGUGUUUUAAAAGAGCUCUAAAUGUUAUGCAAGAGAUCUGCUGCUGGCUUGUGCUCAUCUCACCUACUUCUCUGCUUUGACUGGAGCCAAUGGAAAGCUCAAGCUGCGCUGCGUCCAGUAAGCUGCCUUUCCUAUUGUUAACUCAUAGAGAUUACUGCAAGCCUUCCUAUUGUGCAAUGGAGCAAACAGCCAAUGGAAAAGAAAAGCUUGUUGAAUGUGAACCAUAGACAGGGUUUUUUUCUACUCCGUGUAAUUUGGCUGCGUAUUUUGUAUUUAAAUACUGAAAUUUAAGGCUUCAUUCAGAUAUUUCUUCUGAUCUUUCAGAAAUAUAAAAGACGACACUCAGAAUCUGGUGCUCUUAUAGAGAUGAUGAAUAUUGCAGGUUUUAUCUUUCUACUAACAUGAUAUAUUAAAAUAUAAAAGCUCUGGAUAAAGAAAAAAAAUGUAAAGCUGCAGUGUGUAAUUUCUUUGCACUAAAACGGCAUUAAAAUGGGGUUGAGCAGAGAAAUUUGUCUGCUUUUUGCUUUCAACAUUGUUUGAUUAGUGACACAGCAAUGAUGGUUCAAACAAUAGAAGGUUUUAGGAAACCUAUGUGAAAAAUGCUAUUAUGUAUUGCAAUAAAUGUAUUUUUUAGGAUAAAUCCCUUGAGAUGAAACAUUUUGUUAUUGAAACAAUAUUUUUGGAAUUCCAUUUAGCACCACUAAUGGUGCAGAAAUUAUAAACUGCAGCUUUAAAAUUUAAGAAAAUGGUGUGAUGAACAUGCCAAAUGCCAAAAUUCUGUGCCUACUAUAAAAAAAAGAAAAGAAAAAAAGAUGAAUUAUGAAAUAAGCAUAUUGAAACAGGUCUAAAACAAUCACCAUCAUUUAUUUACAAUAUAUUAAACUGUAAUGCAAAAUUAUUACUUAUAUCAAGUGGUCAUUUAUUCAAUAAAGAAAAUAAACAUUAGCCAUUUUGAAAGCUAAAAUGAAAUCAUACAGAUAUUUAUAUAUUUUCAUAUUAAUGUGUACAGCCAGCAAAUGUUAUGUAUCUUGAAGCCACGUGUUUUAAUUCGCCAGAGACAUCAUUUUUUCAUAUUAAAAUCAAUACUGACUGCAUAGAAAAGAGGAUAAAGUGGUUGACCUUUGCAGAGGGUCUAUAAAACUAAUACACAUGUAAAAUACACACGGUGUCUCCCUUUAAAAAUCAAAGAGAAGCAAUGAGAUCCUUUCACUGCUAUUAUGCUGUUGCUUUAUAUUUUGCCAGCUUCGCUCAAUCCAUCAAUGCUAGAUCAUAAAUACUACAAUGAAAGCAGUACAACAAAACAACAGAAGGCAACGACGGAAAUUGGAGGGGUGCGUGUCCGUACGGGUUCAAGUGAGUCUCAAAGCCAUUAGGUAAGGCCAAAAAUACUGAUGAAUCCAAUGUGACGACAUGCUGUAGGGAAGCUGGGAUUUCACAGUAUCGGUUCUGUCUCCAUCUUGUGCUUCUGGUUGCAUCACAUCAGCAUGAAAAGCAACUUUGAAGCUGUUUGUUUAUCCAGUAUCAGUGGAGUUGGAUGAGAAAUUACCACAAUGCCCCAUAUACCCAAGAAUAUAAGCAUUCCCUUGGGAAAGCCAGACAUCUACGGUAACCAAAACAAAAAAGCCUGAGAACAACGACAACCACAACAAGAAAGUGUGGG